AUACGAAUGGUGCGAGCGUUGUUCGGAAUCACUGGGCAUAAAGAGCACGUAGGCGGUGGCGUAUGUCAGGUGUGAAAUCCCUCGGCUCAACCGAGGAACUGCAUCUGAAACUGCGCCGCUAGAGUGCGGGAGGGGAGAGUGGAAUUCCAGGUGGAGCGGUGAAAUGCGUAGAUAUCUGGAGGAACGCCGGAGGCGAAAGCGACUCUCUGGUCCGCAACUGACGCUGAGGUGCGAAAGCUAGGGGAGCGAACAGGAUUAGAAACCCCAGUAGUCC
rnacentral:rRNA from 1 species